GACGAACGCUGGCGGCGUGCUUAACACAUGCAAGUCGAACGGAAAGGCCCUGCUUUUGUGGGGUGCUCGAGUGGCGAACGGGUGAGUAACACGUGAGUAACCUGCCCUUGACUUUGGGAUAACUUCAGGAAACUGGGGCUAAUACCGGAUAGGAGCUCCUGCUGCAUGGUGGGGGUUGGAAAGUUUCGGCGGUUGGGGAUGGACUCGCGGCUUAUCAGCUUGUUUGUGGGGUAGUGGCUUACCAAGGCUUUGACGGGUAGCCUGCCUGAGAGGGUGACCGGCCACAUUGGGACUGAGAUACGGCCCAGACUCCUACGGGCGGCAGCAGUGGGGAAUAUUGCACAAUGGGCGGAAGCCUGAUGCAGCAACGCCGCGUGCGGGAUGACGGCCUUCGGGUUGUAAACCGCUUUCGCCUGUGACGAAGCGUGAGUGACGGUAAUGGGUAAAGAAGCACCGGCUAACUACGUG
rnacentral:rRNA from 1 species